rnacentral:rRNA from 1 species
UACGGAAGGCAGCAGUGGGGAAUAUUGCACAAUGGGCGAAAGCCUGAUGCAGCUAUGCCGCGUGUAUGAAGAAGGCCUUAGGGGUUGUAAAGUACUUUCAUCGGGGAGGAAAAACAAAACUAAUAAUUUUAUUUCUUGACGUUACCCGAAAAAGAAGCACCGGCUAACUCCGUGCCAGCAGCCGCGGUAAUACGGAGGGUGCUAGCGUUAAUCGGAAUUACUGGGCGUAAAGGGCACGCAGGCGGUUAAUUAAGUUGGAUGUGAAAUCCCCGGGCUUAACCUGGGAAUGGCAUUCAAGACUGGUUAGCUAGAGUCUUGUAGAGGGGGUAGAAUUCCAUGUGUAGCGGUGAAAUGCGUAGAGAUGUGGAGGAAUACCGGUGGCGAAGGCGGCCCCUGGACAAAGACUGACGCUCAUGUGCGAAAGCGUGGGGAGCAAACAGGGAUUAGAUACCCGU